rnacentral:lncRNA from 1 species
UCGGGCUUCUUCCUAUGUCUUAGUGCUUUAUCCGUUCACAUGUAGCAUAUUGUAUGUUGCUAUGCAUUAUAGGAUGACAAUACAUGCAUUCCUAAUCCUUAUAUGAUGUUUAUGAUCAAUAUAGGUAUUAUGAUAUGGAAUAUAUGAUGUAAUGGACAUAAGGAUUAUGAGAUGACAUUGGUAAACCUAUGAUGCUAAAUGAAAGAAGAACCUAGUGUUGUUGUAAUUAAAGACAUAGUUUACAAGUGGCAUUGAACUCAUUGUGCUAAAAACACAUAUGACUUGAGCUAGUAAUGGAUUGGUUGUUGCACUAGAAACUUCUAGUAACGUUGAUCAAGUUGCAUAUUGGGAUAUUGCAUUAUAGGGUACUAGUUGGCAAUUGUUACAUGUCAUGGCAUGCUAGUGAGAGUGUAGUGUUACUUGAUUAAUACUUGUACCUAGUAUGCAUGAGAUUGGGACUUAAUGUGGUGAAACCCUAUAAGGGCAUGAUUAAUGUAGGGUUAAACUUAGUUGAGUACAUUAAUCGAUCAAGUUGCAUAUUGUAUUUAUUGCAUAUAGGUGCUAGAUGAUUAUGGUUAUUGCUUGUAUUUGCAUGCUAGUAGCUAUACAUCUUGAUGAUUGAUCCAUGAACUAGUAUGCAUGAGAACCUAGACCCUAUAUGUGAGAUGAUUAAUGCUUAUGUUGCUAAAGAACUAGUAUGAUGUAACUAGUGUUGAAAUGAGUCUAAAUGACGAGUGGCAUCUAGUUUAGAAAACUAUGAUGAGUGGCAUAUGAUUGUUGAUAACCUUGACAUGAGAACCUUAGUGUAGUUGAAACACUAUGAGAUUGGGUACAAGAACACCUUGAUUCCAUGAUGAGAUUACCCUUAGAGGGUAGGUUGCUGUUGCUCGUGAGAUGAUCACGCUCACAUUGCCUGUCUGCGCUUGGUGGGGUCGCUCCCCCCAGGUUGUGCGCUCCGGAGUUUGGUCACUAGAGAGGCAGCCCUGCUUGCUGCUCGGAUAGCCGCUUGUUAUCCGCAGGCGUACUCGGGGAUCGACCAGCUAGGCAUCCCUAGGAGAUUGAUAUGUGAGCCUUGCUUGUGAACCUUGUGUUCACCACGAGAUUUGGUUACCUAUUGAGUCAUACUCAUUAUUGUUGUUCAUGAUAGCUUGCUUCCAUAGUUGUUGUUGUUGUUCAUAGUAGCUUACUAGUGUUCAUAGUAGCUUACUUAUUGCUCAUGCCUUCAUGAUAUACUAUUCCUUCACCUAUGAGAUUUGAGUACCUAUUGAGUCAUACUCAUUAUUGUUGUUCAUGAUAGCUUGCUUCCAUAGUUGUUGUUGUUGUUCACCUAUGAGAUUUGAGUGGAGUAGCCCUGUACCUAGUAGGUCGAGAUGUGAGUCGGGCAAAGUGCGGGGUAGCCUUUGCCUAGGACCUUGAGAUGUGAGUCGGGCGAGGGGCGGGGUAGCUCUUUGCCUAGGGACUCACGAGAUUGGGUCAGACCCUUGAGAUAUGAGUCGAGUGAGACAAGAGUGAGUUAGCUCUUCACCUACUAGAUUUGAGAUCUUAGGCAAGUUAGCCUAGCGGAUUGGGUAAUAACAUGAAUAGCAUAAGAGUAUUGCAUUCAUACCUUGAUUAGACAUAGUGCAUUGCAUAACUAUGUUGUUGUUGUAUUUAUUUCACUGUUGAGGCAUAUUAGCAUGAUAGUAGAUUGUUGCUAGAUGAUGUUCCAUGCAUACUUUGCAUUUGAUGGCAUAAUAGAUAUAGUAGUAGUAUUUCCAUAUAUCUUUCUAUCUAUCUAUCUGUGCCAGCUUGGACCUAGUGGGAAGAUCGGCGGAGUCGGCGGCCGAACCCACUGGGAACUAUAUUUAUAUAGUUCUCACCCCGUGUGGUUUUGGGGUACAGG